CUUGCUCAUUUCCCCUUCUAUUACUCAACAAACUCAGAGAUUUUCAACAAACUCAGAGAUUUGGGCAAGAAGACCCAGUGGAAAUAGAUCAUGGAUGAUUUGGAUGCUUUGUUGGCAGAACUGGAACAAACAACGGAGAGUCUGAGUGUGAAUGAUUCAGACCCAACUGUUUGCUUUCUUCUCAAGCGCGACAACAAACCAGCAAAAACAGAAAGCCAUUUAACCCAACAGCACAAAUCAACACCUCAAGAAGCCAAAAAGGUAGAACCAGCACACAAUGUUCAAACCCAUAAAGAAGAUGCAGAUAUUUAC
rnacentral:lncRNA from 1 species